rnacentral:rRNA from 1 species
GACGAACGCUGGUGGCGCGCUUAACACAUGCAAGUCGAACGGAAAGGCCUGCUUUCCCUUGUGGAUUGCGGGUACUCGAGUGGCGAACGGGUGAGUAACACGUGAGUGAUCUGCCCCCAACUUGGGUAUAAGCCUGGGAAACUGGGUCUAAUUCCCGAUAGGACUGCAGGGUGGUGCCUGUGGUGGAAAACGAUUUUCUAGUGGUUGGGGAUGAGCUCGCGGCCUAUCAGCUUGUUGGUGGGGUAAUGGCCUACCAAGGCGGCGACGGGUAGCCGGCCUGAGAGGGUGGACGGCCACAUUGGGACUGAGAUACGGCCCAGACUCCUACGGGAGGCAGCAGUGGGGAAUAUUGCACAAUGGGCGGAAGCCUGAUGCAGCGACGCAGCGUGGGGGAUGACGGCCUUCGGGUUGUAAACUCCUUUCGACCGCGAGGAAGCCACCUGGUUGGAAGGGUGGUGACGGUAGUGGUAGAAGAAGCACCGGCUAACUACGUG